CUAUGAAAAAAAGCCAGACGCUCGCUCCCUCGUGCCCUCGAUGCCCACUGUCGCUCUCCUCCGCCCCAACCCCAACCCCGCCGCCGCCUCAAUCCCACCGCCGCCGGCCUCCUCCUCCUCUAGCGCCGCCGCUCCAGCCCCUCACCUUCUCAGCCUGGAUCCGUGCGACAAGGUGUGGGGCUAUGGGAGAGAAGGCUCCAUAUCGCGCGACAAGGUGAGGGGGCACCCAGAUCCGCAGCGGCACCACCGCGCCCUCAUCCACCUGGCCCUCGAGGUCGGCCAUGGAGGUCUGGCCCGGCCAAUGGAUGGAUGGGGAUGAAACCCUAGCCCAACACCCACCCAUGGAUGGAUGGGGAUGGGGCGACGACGGCGACGGCGGCCUUCUCUCGGUGCUUGCUGAUGUGGUGGACAUCGACGUCGGUGACGGGUUGCAGCACGUAGACAUCAAAGGCUGCGGGUGUGACGGAGGAGCACCAUGGCGGGCCUGCAGACCAUGGCUCGCUAUGGAAGGCCCUUCCCUCCCCUCUCUCUAUUCGGGCCAUGCUCAGGCAGUCUUUUCUCUUCUCUUCCCGCAAAAAAGUCUUUUCUCUUCAUGAUCUGAACAUGUUGGAGGCCAUUAUUUCUCCUCUGCCAUACUUUGCUGCUGCUGCCAUGUUAACUGAGAGUUGGUAGCCAAUAUCAAGUGAUUCGGAAUUUUUGUUGAUCUGAACCAUAAUUUAAUGAUAUUGUUCCUUCUUUCUAAUGCGGUGUUAGUUGGCAUUAAGUUGUGAAAUCCAAAUCCAUACAUUUACAUUUCUUGUUGUUCUAAUUACACAAGUAUUUUCACAUUUUUUUGUUAACUAAUCUUCACACCGAACUCCAUCUCAGUAACCAGACCUGAUAUAGUAGUUAGUUUUGGCAUUAGACACAACAACUUUGACAUUGAUAAUUUCCUCAUAUAUUUAGUAGGACAAUAAACUUGUCUAGCAUUUCAUUAUGAGUUGCAGGCUCUGAAAAUAAAUGUAUGUGCCCCCUAAAUGAUUAAACGUAUGGUUUUUGAAUUAUGCAUGCUUUUUUUUUGAAUUAUGCAUGCUGACAUGCAUUGGCAAUCAUUAUUCAACAAUAUUCCUUUUCACUGAAAUAUAACCAUGUAAUGCUUAUGAUUUAAUCUGGUUAUCUAGACAACUAAAUGGGUUAAUGUUAUGCUUACUAUCUUUUGGCAUAUGUAAUGCGUGGAAGGAAACCAGUGUCUUUUGAUAGGGAUUUCUAGAGGUAACAUGCCUCUGACUGUAUGCACUAAAUUUAAGACGCUUUGUUUAGAAGAUGUUUUCUUCAGUAGUACUACAUAUUUUUAUGAUUUCCUGUAACUUGCUGAUAUGGCACCGAUUUGCCGCAUGGUGUGCUACAACUACACUCCAGGGGAAUAUUUGUUCAGAAUCUUCAGUCUUGUAAUUUUCUCCUUGAUGACCUGCUCGCCGCGACUGCCCAAACCCCAGGCCACACUUCCUCUUCCACUCCGCAUACUCCUGGUUGUAGCCCCAGCUCGCCACAGGCAGGGAUCGGCGGCUCGCUGGCGUGGCGCGUGGCAGGGAGAGAAGGGGGGCAAGAUCGGCGAGGCAGAGUUCUUCCGGAAGGACGGCGUGGUGGGCGACAUGGACGGAUACCUCAACUACCUGUCCCUCGAGUAUGACUUCGUCUCGGACACCAAUCCUACUUGGGUAUCUUCAAGGUCCAUGCUCCAAAUAUAAAUAAGAUUUGGUCCGCCGAGCCCUUCAUUGGCGUCCUCCUGGGACACCUCCAUGUAGCGCCAAGGUUGGAGGUGACACAUGAACGCUGGCAAUGCAAAAUAGCAGAUAUAAAAUAACUGCAGCUCAGGCCAUGUAGUUCUACAACAACCAAGGAAGAAGUCCGUUUUUAAGCCGACCUCGGCCAAGCAUUUAAGCUUAUAUGGGUGCUCUCUAUUUUUCAGAGUUGCGUGUACUGAGAACGCCCAUGAUUUAGGGCCAAAAAUCUAGACAAAGUGACAAAACUGAAAUACGAGACUUACUUGAAGCCAGUGAUAGCCCGUUGAAGGAUGCCGAUUGUGGCUAUCCAACUACAACAAUGUGCUUGCAACUCAUGAGUGGCAAAGUAUAACAUGCCUCCUUUAUUAAAGAAGCCCCUUCAAUAUAUGUAUGCAGAAUGCUGUGAAGGACUCGUGACAAAGCUAGAUCUGUAUGCAUGUCUUAAUGUAUUUUCAUACUAGCUUGAGUAAUGUACUCUUGCCCGCCGCACGGCACCACCUUUGUAGUGUAUUCUUGGUCGCUCGUUGCUCAAUUAGGUUAUUCUAUUU